rnacentral:lncRNA from 1 species
UAAUAAAGACUCUGAGGGUGUUUCUGGGGACCUUGGUGUGUUCACUGUGCGGGUACUGUGGAUCCUCAUGCGUACUUUGUUUCCGCAGGGCCAGGAAAGAAUACUGGCAGAAUCUUCGAAUAGCUUCCGGCAGACCGUACAAUCCUUCGAUGUCCAAGCCGGAUGCUUGGGGAGUGACGAAAGGGGCAGCAGAGCUGAUGCAGCAGAAGGAAGCCACCACUGAGCAGCAGCUGAGAGCGCUCUUCGAAAAACAAAAAUUCAAAUCCGCACAGUAGCCACAGGCCAGCGGUUCGGGGCGAAUUCCUCCAGGUCCGGGCCACAGUGUGCACCCGGAAGGAGAAGGCAUCUCUAAACCAGCGUUUGUGUUGAUGCCGGCUUACACCUGUGAUUGGUGCUAGUUAGACAAAAUGGAAUCACAGAUAGCAUUUCACAGUUACAAAACUACGCUUUAGAAUUUUACCUAGAAGGAAGAAAGGAGAAGUCCACAGUAAAUCCUGAACACAUUUCCUACGUGCCUGUCGCAUUACAGGCGCACAGGAGUCACUGCAGCGAAGAGAAAGUCACCCGACAUCAAUCUCAUUUCAGAUAGGGGGAUAGGACACCACCUCCACGAGUGACAUAGAACCAUUCAGGGACCGUAUCAUAAGUGACACAGCAACCAUCUAUAUCUAAGAUGCUUCCCAAGUGGAUUCCAAGAUCUUUUGAGCAGGACCCUUAGGCAGAAACAACACACACCAGCCCUGUAAAACUUAACAGAUAACUGAUCCAUUCUGUAAUUCUGUAAUCUCUGUUCUGACUGCUUCCAUUCCAUUUCAUUAAUAAAAACAUGCCGGUUGAAAACCUUCAA